rnacentral:tRNA from 1 species
UCCCCGGUGGCUCAGUGGUAAAGAAUCUGCCUGCAAUGCACGCAGCGCAGGUUCGAUUCCCUGCUCUGGGGA